rnacentral:rRNA from 1 species
UACGUAGGGUGCGAGCGUUAAUCGGAAUUACUGGGCGUAAAGCGUGCGCAGGCGGUUGUGCAAGACAGAUGUGAAAUCCCCGGGCUUAACCUGGGAACUGCAUUUGUGACUGCACGGCUAGAGUGUGUCAGAGGGGGGUAGAAUUCCACGUGUAGCAGUGAAAUGCGUAGAUAUGUGGAGGAAUACCGAUGGCGAAGGCAGCCCCCUGGGAUAACACUGACGCUCGUGCACGAAAGCGUGGGGAGCGAACAGG